GAUGAACGCUAGCGGCAGGCUUAAUACAUGCAAGUCGUGGGGCAGCAGGUUUGUAGCAAUACAGAUGCUGGCGACCGGCAAACGGGUGCGGAACACGUACAGAACCUUCCUUUGAGCGGGGAAUAGCCCAGAGAAAUUUGGAUUAAUACCCCAUAGUAUAAUGAAGUGGCAUCACUUUAUUAUUAAAGAUUUAUCACUCGAAGAUGGCUGUGCGGCUGAUUGGGUAGUUGGCGGGGUAAAGGCCCACCAAGCCUGCGAUCAGUAACUGGUGUGAGAGCACGACCAGUCACACGGGCACUGAGACACGGGCCCGACUCCUACGGGAGGCAGCAGUAAGGAAUAUUGGUCAAUGGAGGCAACUCUGAACCAGCCAUGCCGCGUGGAGGAUGAAGGUCCUCUGGAUUGUAAACUUCUUUUAUAUGGGACGAAAAAAGGCUUUCUAAGUCGUCUGACGGUACCAUAUGAAUAAGCACCGGCUAACUCCGUGCCAG
rnacentral:rRNA from 1 species